GUGAGGAAUUUUCCGCAAUGGGCGAAAGCCUGACGGAGCAAUGCCGCGUGAAGGAUGAAGGCCUAUGGGUUGUAAACUUCUUUUCUUAGAGAAGAAUAUUGACGGUAUCUGAGGAAUAAGCACCGGCUAACUCCGUGCCAGCAGCCGCGGUAAUACGGAGGGUGCAAGCGUUAUCCGGAAUCAUUGGGUUUAAAGGGUCCGCAGGCGGGCUAUCAAGUCAGAGGUGAAAUCCCACAGCUUAACUGUGGAACUGCCUUUGAAACUGAUGGUCUUGAAUUAAGUGGGCGUUGGCGGAAUAUGACAUGUAGCGGUGAAAUGCAUAGAUAUGUCAUGGAACACCGAAAGCGAAGGCAGCUAACGAUACUUAUAUUGACGCUCAUGGACGAAAGCGUGGGUAGCGAACAGGAUUAGAAACCCCAGUAGUCC
rnacentral:rRNA from 1 species